rnacentral:rRNA from 1 species
UACGUAGGGAGCAAGCGUUGUUCGGAUUUACUGGGCGUAAAGGGCGCGUAGGCGGCAGAUCAAGUCAGCUGUGAAAUCUCCGAGCUUAACUCGGAACUGUCAGCUGAUACUGUUUUGCUAGAGUGCGGAAGGGGCAAUCGGAAUUCUUGGUGUAGCGGUGAAAUGCGUAGAUAUCGAGAGGAACACCUGCGGCGAAGGCGGGUUGCUGGGCUGACACUGACGCUGAUGCGCGAAAGCUAAGGGAGCGAACGGG